AUUGAACGCUGGCGGCAUGCCUUACACAUGCAAGUCGAACGGUAACGGGCCUUCGGGUGCCGACGAGUGGCGAACGGGUGCGUAAUGCAUCGGAACGUACCUCUCAGUGGGGGAUAACGUAGCGACAGUUACGCUAAUACCGCAAAUUCGGUGAGCAGGAAAGCAGGGGAUCGCAAGACCUUGCGCGGUUUGUGCGGCCUAUGGCAGAUUAGCGAGUUGGUGAGGUAAAGGCUUACCAAGGCGACGAUCUGUAGCGGGUCUGAGAGGAUGAUCCGCCACACUGGGAGUGAGACACGGCCCAGACGCCUACGGGAGGCAGCAGUGGGGAAUUUUGGACAAUGGGGGCAACCCUGAUCCAGCCAUGCCGCGUGGGUGAAGAAGGCCUUCGGGUUGUAAAGCUCUUUCGGCCGGGAAGAAAUCGCACAGGCUAAUACCUUGUGUGGAUGACGGUACCGGAAUAAGAAGCACCGGCUAACUACGUGCCAGCAGCCGCCGCCGUAA
rnacentral:rRNA from 1 species